rnacentral:lncRNA from 1 species
GUGCGUGCCACCCCCCCGCUCUCUCCCCGAUCGCGUUAUCGACGAUCCGACUCAUUUCGGCUUCAUUUUAAUUAGAAUUAUAAUUUUUAUUUCUCUCUCUUUUUUUUUUUUUCCAGCCCUGGACGCGAUGAUUGACGCGCGGCUCCGGUUCGGUGCGGGUCCCGCCCGGCGAUGCGGGGUAACGGGGUCAGUUUUCCCGACUUAUUAUGACAAAUGCGUUUAUUGCGAGAUGAUCUGAUGGCGUCGUAAAUGUUGGUUAAGGAAAAGGUGCGCGGUGUGAUUAGGGCAAAAGUGUUUUCUGGACUUCAGCUGUAACAGUCUGGAUCAAUUCGCCUCCUUUAAUCUAUUGCCCCUCCGCCCUUCUUCCUCUCACCCCAACACAGAAGGAUAUUUAAUGUGAAGGGCAAAGAGAUUUCUAGGAAUGAUAAAUCAUCGCGAAUCCUUCCUGAGGUAUAUAGGGAUGUAAGUAUUAUAUAGCCUGUAUUAACGGGCUAAUAAUAACAUCGGAGGGUGCUAAUAGCCACCUGAAAUCAAGGAAAAGCGUAUUUCGCAUCUCUGUGAUACCGUAUGUGUGUGUAUAUGACUCCUAUGUGCUCGUCUGUACAAAACCUAUGUAUGAAUUUACUAUCAGAGGUGUUAUACUGAUACGGAGUGAUCAUUAAGGCGCUAAAAACCCGACACCCAAAUUGUUAGGUUCUCCCUUAUUCCCAUCAGCGGUGUUUUUCGAUGCCCCGCAGCGUGAUGAAGGGACAAUUCCCCGCAUCGAGAAGCAGAGACCCUCUGCAAGAGGCGCUGGGAAGAAGCUGUCCAUUUUCAUUUAAAAAAAGAACUAAUCGAGAGGGUCGGGAUGAUGGGCAGAGAGAGCCGGAGCCCAGUGCCGGAGAUCGGAUUUAUUUUUAAUUUUUACAUCAAUCAGGGUAAUAAGAGCCCCCCCACCCCACCCCCAGCCAGAGCAAAACGCUCCCUGGUCUGGAAAAGCAGAGGCAGUCUCGGGCUCCAGCCAAGGUGAGCUCUGAGUUAAGCUCUUGCAAAGACCGUCGCGAGUAAAUGUGACCAGCUCAUCUCUUUGUAACCUUUGCUGAGAGGGACUCCAGGCGAGCAGCCGCUCCAUCCCAGAUCUGGGAGCCCCGCUCGCGUGGUGCUGUCUGUUUCCUGUGACUUCAUACAUGAAAGCCUCAAAUAGACCCCGAAAGAAAUGGGAGAGGGAACCAAUUCCACACAGCGCUCCCCUUUGAAACACACAGCUGCAAAAAUUCAUCCUUAACAAACAGCUCCUCGGGUCGGUAUUGCUGCACCGCCAGCGACCAAACACAAAACGCCUUCACAAGAUGCAGCUUUCAGGUCUGCUCCACUGCCAUCUUUUGCUGAUGUGGAAGUUUUGGCAUCAGAAAAAUAAAAGAGCGGACGAUCCUAUUUAUUUAUUUUUAUUUAUUUUUGGCCGGCAACAUAUUUAAGCACUUUUACUAUUGUUAAGGGCAGUUGUUAUCGUUUAUUAGAAUUGGCACCUUCCUUUUCCAGAUGCUUUAGCACUGAGAUGAAGGAGGUGGGGGGGAUCCGGGGGUGCGGAGCUUUCUGCUGUGCUGGGAUGGGACGGGGGGGGUCCUAUCACGGUUUCGAGGUGGUGUGCAGUGUGCGUUACUUUGGAUACGUUCACUCUUCUUUUGCACGUUGGGUUUUGAAGGCGAUAAGGAUAUGCAAGAGGGGAUAACAGCUGAGAGCGAACCUCGCGGCUAUGGGGUGUCUGGAGACCAGAUUCAGAAAUCACUCAGCCUUCAAAGGGCUGAGCGUUAAUUUCGGAUAUGAAAAGUAUGCCGAAAUAAUAAUAAUAAUUAUUAAUAAUAAUAGAAAUAUUUUAAAACGGGGAAACAGUAAUAAAACCCCAGCUUAAAGCGCUCAUAAUUCCCAAACAACGCAUUUACGCGGAUCUAAGAGAGAAAACUUCAGUCCCAAACCCCCCCGAACUCACGAGAGCGGAACAAAAAUCCCUCUUGAGGAGUAAAACUCCUUUUUUUUUCUUUCUUUCUUUCUUUUUUUUUUAAUAAAAAAUGUGAAAUAAGUUUCUGUAGCCUGAAAGAAGAGGGUUCUACCUUUGCCAUUUCCUGUGCUAGCCCUCAGUUUGAAUGCGGCCGUCUGUUAAAAAUCCGUAAGUGGUGAGAAGAAGGGGGGGGGGGGUGAGGUGGGGGGGAGGCGGAAUUCCUUGUCUGAAGAGAAGCAAAAACAAGUUACACAUGUGGGGAAUUUUCCAAGAGCCGAAAGUAUACUCCGGCUAAAAAACACAAUUCCAAAUGAGGUUUGUAAUCUCAGCAGUUAAUAAAGCAUUUCGGUCCCCUGUAAAGUAAAAGCGUAUGCGCUUUGGAAAGGGGAAGCCGGAGGAGAGAAAGUUAAAAUAAAGUUGGAUUGUUGUUCAGGAGCCCACAUUUUAGCUACCAGACUAAUCCUCCCCCCUCCUCGCCUCCCUCCAUGAAAUCAUAUCGAGCUCCCACGCAAUAGCUGGGCGAUCGCUUCGCUCCCACUGCCGCCGGUUUGGGGGUUUUAUACCCUACUGCUGCUGAGUCCCCCGCGACGAUCUGCUGUGGGGUCACCGCCAGAUAGUGGGGAACCCCUCCACCCCCACCCCAAAAAUCGUCUGAAGUCUGGGAGGGAUCUGCCUCCACCACACCGAGGCAAGGCAGUAGGGUGGGAAAAGGGCACAGGGUGAACUGGAAAUGCAGACGGUGUGCAGAAACGAAACGAUCCCACAGCUCAGCGAGAGAAUACGUAAGAAUGAUCCCCAUAAACCCGACCCCAGUUUGGGGCGAUCGGAGCCGUCUCAGCCCCAUCCUGGGGCUCUGCACCAAACCCGGCAUCGUGAGCUGAGAUGGGGAGAGCGAGGGGAGCUUCGCUUACAGAAAUAUCAUCUAAUUAGUCCACAGAUGCGGCAAAUCUUCUAAAUUAAUCGAAUAAGACUUUAAGUCGCAACAGGAGCUUUGGGUGGAGCGGGUAAGGCUGAACCUCGAGAAAGAAUCCAGCAGCACUUAAAAGGGAGAAGGAAACGUUGGAUGGCAUUAAAGAAAAGGAGUUGGCAAAACACUUCCAGCAAACCUGCAGUCGGAUACGAGCAUCUACUUAUCCGACAUUAAACCUCUCUCUUCGCUAAGACUUUAUCGGUCCAACAAUUCAUUCGAUUUUUUUUUCCUAUUUUAUUUUUCAUGGGGAAAUCUGACCAAAAAUCUCAGUUUUAGUCUUCUUUUCUUUCUUUCUCCCCCCGAUUAAUCUUUUAAUUAUUUUUAGUUUAUACAUUUCAGGUUAUUUGGGAUUACGUUUAAAUCUCCGAAAAAAAAAAAUCAGUUAAGAAUGAAUAAAUUGAAGAGUAAUAUUGAUAAGAAUUCUAUGGAAAGACCCAACAGAAAUGCAUCCUUCUCUGGGUGUCCCCUUAAACAAAAUACCGCAUUUCUUCCUAUCCUACCAAUUUGUUGGAAAACUUAAUUAAGCUCGGCUACCUUCCAUUAUUUAUAUAAACCCUCCGUCCGGGAGACUUUAAGAGGUUUCUUCUCCGGUUUCCAACAUUGUUAUUAGAAAUCCAUAAAGCAGGGGAGGGGCAGGAAAUUAAAUUUAAAGGUACCUCAUUACGGCACAACUGCUUUCCUAUGGCAGCGGACGGAGACAACACAUGGCGGCAUAAAAGGCUGAGUCCCCCCAGCACGUAGACUUGGCAAUCCUCUCGAAAUGACCUUUUAAUUCCAAGCCUAGCAAGCUUCCGUCCACACAGCGGGCUCUAAGAGUCGGCAGAGAGGGGAGGAAAAUAAACUAAAAUAGAAGAGAGGACACCGAUGCGAAUGGAAGAGCCACGCAGAUGGAAAGCGUGGGGCGGAUGGUGGUUAGUAGUGGGUUUGACUGGGUGGGCAUCAGGAGAGGUAACCGCUAUUGGGGGGGAUUUGUUCCAGAAGUUCCCAGCUUUGCUCCAAGAGGGAUUUCCCUGCCGUGUGUCUGCAGUCCCCGAUUCGUUUCCCGCUGGAUAGUGCAGAUUAAGUGGGUUUCAGCCCAACGCAGAAACAAAGAAACGAUGCUAACCGUGAAGAGUCGGAACCGAGAAUAGACGGAACUCUCAACAGACGGUGCGGAGAAGUGGAGGUGCGAACAAAGAUCGGUUUUGCUCCCGAUCUUUGUUUUAAAGGAGAGCUUGAACUUUGAGAAGACAGAGGAAGAAAUGAUCAUAGAAGCUAAAGAAGGGGGAAGACGAUCAGCUCUGCUCGCCCGUCCGCAGAAGCAGCCAACAGCUUUCUAUCCGGACGGCUGCAGCUGAUGAGAAGCAUUAAGUAUUCUCGGGAAUCUACACGUGGGAAACUACAAAAAGACCAACACGUUACGAACACCACCUCCCUCCCCAGCACUCGGCGAGGCCGAAUCCAGCACCGACUUACCCAUUCCGCUCCUUCUCUUUUUAAUUAAGAUCACUUUUUAAGCAAACUCUCCCACUCCGAAGAAAAAAUAGCAAUAAUAAUAAUAAUAAGAGCCAAGGAAAUAUAUAAAGAAGAGGCAGCCCCACUCGUUGGCAGAGCAUCCUCCCACCACUUGUUAGAGCGAACCUUCCCCAGCUCCGGCCGAUUUCGCGUUAUUUCAUUUUUCUCACUCCUUUCCUAGACUGGCGAGAGAGCAAAGGUGCCGUAAAUUAAUUUUUAACUAAAAGCCCUUUGUGUUAACGAAGGGGGGGGGGGGGGGGAAACAACAACAAACCAACAACCCACCUUCCCUCCUCCCCCUGUUUAGCAGUCUAGACAAAACCACUCUAUUUUGACGGCGGACUGCGGGCUUUCCCUGCUCGCCGCCCAUUCCUGAUUGUUUGCAUUCGCCCCCUGUAAAGCCUGGGGAGGGGACUUCAGUUUUUGUUUAUUUGUUUUACCCACCUUCGAUUUCUGGUGCCGUUUUAGCAUCUUUAGACCCUUGCCUAAAGACGGUAUUUCGUGCCGCGACAAAAAAGAAAAGGCCUAUCUUCUCUUUUUAUUUCCCCCCGGUCCAUAAGGAGCCUCCAGCAGAACGGACACCUCGAAAUCCCCAAUUGCGGUGGGUGCGAAGCCACGUCAUCCCAGAGCCGACUGAGGACAGAGGUUAUGCGGCACCGGGGAAGCUGCGGGCCCGGAGGGGUGGCUGGGUGCGGGACCCCCGGUGCCGGCUGCUGCCGACCCUUUUGCACCCCCAAAGGAGGUGCGAGGGGGGAAACAUCCCCUCAUCCCCCUCCUUUAGAGCUAAGGAGCCGAGGGUGGGUGGCGGAGAGGGGAGUGCUGGGAGCUGCCGGGUGACUGGUGGGCUCCGGCUUUGCGAAAACGGU